ensembl:lncRNA
CUUGAAGGGAAUUUACAACAUGAGAUGGCAUAUGUGCCUGAUCUUGAAGCAAAGCUGACUAGCAGUCUGGUUUAAGAGCUGGAUGGUGCUCAGUCAGUCAGGCAGGACAGCACUAUGCUUACUGUAGUCACCAUGGUGAUCAGAAGUCCAGCCUUCAACAACAGGUAACAGGCCACCCCCACAAUCAAGAUCUCUAAGAGAGACAGGGAGGAAGAAAUGAAUGUACUAUGAAUAAGAGGAUAAAUGACAAAUGCACAUUUAAAAUGUUGAAGGGGGGGUAAGCGAGCAGAUAAGUUCUAUCAAAUCAAAUAUUGAUCAACUCUUGUACCCGUAUAGUGAAGAUAACCCAAUAGUAAUGGACAGUAACUAGGUUAAACCAUGUGGAUGAUAACCCAAUAAUACAGGACAGUAACUAGGUUAAACCAUGUGGAUGAUAACCCAAUAAUACAGGACAGUAACUAGGUUAAACCAUGUGGAUGAUAACCCAAUAAUACAGGACAGUAACUAGGUUAAACCAUGUGGAUGAUAACCCAAUAAUACAGGACAGUAACUAGGUUAAACCAUGUGGAUGAUAAACUAAUGAUCCUGAAUGGUUAGUAGGUUGAACCAUGUGGAUGAUAAACUAAUGAUCCUGAACGGUUAGUAGGUUGAACCAUGUGGAUGAUAAACUAAUGAUCCUGAACGGUUAGUAGGUUGAACCAUGUGCCUUAACUGACUACAUACAUACCGGCCUUUGUCUUGAUUGUGGGCACAGUAGCUGUGGAUACGGCAGCAGUAGGAAGAUCUGGAGGAAAGAAUGUCAUGUAUUCUUAAUUGGAUUGAGGUGCAGUCUUUGACUGGGACACUCCAGGAAAUUCUGAUUUUUAAAACCAACUCCUUUUUGCUUUGAAUGUUCCUUUGUUUUCAUUAUGUAAUUUUUGUUAAGAAUUGUACUAACCAACUGUGGGACUUCGCAGAGACAGGUGUAUUUAACCUGAAAUCACGCGAAUAACCUCAACUGCACACAGGUGCACUCCAUUCAACUCAUGUGACUUCUAGAGACAGCUGGUUGUAACACAGCUCAUUGAGGUGAAAACCUUGUUUCUUUUUUUAAUUAAUGGACAUUUUAUAUAUAUUGAUCAGUGACAAAAACUCCUGAUUACAUUUUGAUUUUGAGUUGUAACACAAUUCUGAGAGACACUGAAUGUCAUAUGAGUGAGUCCUCACUGAACUCAGACAGAACAACUAAUCUGUAGAAUAUUCACAAACUAAUCAACUGAAUGUUCAUUUCGGAGGAUGGACUGUUGAGAUGUAACCAAUCACACUGUAGCCAGAACUUUCUAAUACUCCACAGUGUUUGGGUACUUCAGCAACACAUGGAGUCGUAUGAAGCUUCACAUGUAAUAAGUCAACAUGUUAAUCAGACAGAACGUGUUUCCUCACCUUCCACGACGAUGACUCCCACCGUGCCAAUGGCAUCGGGCGGCUGUGUUUUACAGCUGUAGUUCCCGCUGUCCUUCACUCUGGCAUCACUCACAUGCAGACACAGGGAGAUGUUUCCCUGAAUGGACGAGGCACUCAGGAGGACAUGGUCAUCCUUCCACCACUGAACGGUGUGAUAUGACUUCAGGCAGCUGAACUUACAGGUCAGGUUGAAACUCUGGCCGGACAGGAGCCUCUGGUCGCCGAAGUCUGAGUCGAUGGAGGUGUCGCUGCAACCUAAGACGGCUCACAGAAAACUCUUGUCUUGUUAUAACCAGUGGUUAUGCCGUGCACUUGUUAUAAACACUCGUUCAGCCAUGAACAUGUUAUAAACACUUGUAA